CACGUAGGGGACGAGCGUUGUCCGGAUUCAUUGGGCGUAAAGCGCGCGUAGGCGGCUCGGAAAGUCGGUCGUGAAAUGCCGGGGCUCAACCCCGGGACUGCGUCCGAUACUUCCGGGCUGGAGGUAGGUAGGGGAGAUCGGAAUUCCUGGUGUAGCGGUGAAAUGCGCAGAUAUCAGGAGGAACACCGGUGGCGAAGGCGGCGACCUGGGUCGACACUGACGCUGAGGCGCGAAAGCUAGGGGAGCGAACAGG
rnacentral:rRNA from 1 species